UGGGCUGGGGCUCAGUGGUAGAGCACUUGCCUCACAUGUAUGAGGCACUGGGUUCGAUCCUCAGCACCACAU
rfam:Ictidomys tridecemlineatus contig088996, whole genome shotgun sequence.